rnacentral:rRNA from 1 species
UCUAUGGCGAGUUUGAUCCUGGCUCAGAGCGAACGCUGGCGGCGUACUUAACACAUGCAAGUCGAACGAGGAUCGUCGGGUUAGCAAUAAUUCGGCGGUCCUAGUGGCGUACGGGUGAGUAACACGUGGGUAACCUGCCCUCGAGUCCGGGAUACCCUCUCGAAAGGGAGGCUAAUACUGGAUACGUUCCCUGGGUCGCAAGACCUGGGGAGGAAAGGUGGCGAAAGCUGCCGCUCUUGGAGGGGCUCGCGGCCUAUCAGCUAGUUGGUGAGGUAACGGCUCACCAAGGCGAUGACGGGUAGCUGGUCUGAGAGGACGACCAGCCACACGGGAACUGAGACACGGUCCCGACUCCUACGGGAGGCAGCAGUGGGGAAUUUUCCGCAAUGGGCGAAAGCCUGACGGAGUGACGCCGC